UUAUUGAUUUUAUUAUGUUUAUUUUUUGUUUAUUAAUUAUUUAAUAGAAAUAACUUUUUUGAUUUUUGUCUAAGUAUAUUUUAUAGAAUUGAUUUUUUUUAUUAUAGUCAAUUAGUAAUGUAAAUGGAUUUUGUAAUAUUUUGUUAAAUUAUUAAAAGUAGAUUUUAUUUUUUGUACCUUUUGUAUCAGGGUUCAUCAAAAUUUUAGUAUUUAUUUACUAUUCUCGAUUUAGGUUGAUUUAUAAACAGAUUAUAGUUAAUGUUUCAUAAUUAUUAUUAAUUUGUUUAUAGAAAUGAUAUGUUAAUCGUUUCCUAAGAUAUCUAGUUUCUUAAGAAAAAAUUUAAUUUUUUAUGAUUUUUGUUUUACUUUAAUUAUUUAAUUUAAAAUAAUUAUCAAUUUAUUCUUUAGGGGAUAAGCUCUAAAGGUAUAUAAUCUAUAAUUUAUAAUUUAAAAUUUAAAAGUAAGCUUUAAAACAGCUAUCUUAAUUGAGUACGUUUUAGUUCAUUUUUAUAAAUUUGAUUUUAUAAUUGUUUUAGAUUUUGUAUUAAGAUUAUUUAUUCAAUUUCAAAUUAUUUGAAAUAAUGAUGAAAUUAGUAUAUUUAUUUAUUUAUAAUUUUUUUGCUGAUAAUUUAGUAUAAGGAAUUAGGCAAAAUUGAUUUUCGCCUGUUUAUCAAAAACAUGUCCUCUUGAUUAUACUUUGAGGUCUGACCUGCUCACUGAUUAUUUUUAAGAGCCGCGGUAUUUUGACCGUGCAAAGGUAGCAUAAUCAUUAGUCUCUUAAUUAGGGGCUGGAAUGAAUGGUUUGACGAAAAAUCAACUGUCUCUUAUUAAAUUUUAGAAUUUAACUUUUGAGUCAAAAGGCUUAAAUUUUUCUUUAGGACGAGAAGACCCUAUAGAUCUUUAUACUUUAUUUUUAUAAGGAUUUCUGUUUGUUUUUUCUUUAUUAAAUGAGGGUAUUUAGUUGGGGUGACGUGAAGAAUAAAUAAACUCUUCAUUAUAAAAUCAUUAAUUUAUGUUUAUUUGAUCCAUAAUUUAUGAUCAUAAGAUUAAGUUACCUUAGGGAUAACAGCGUAAUUGUUUUUGAGAGCUCAUAUCGACAAAGCAGAUUGCGACCUCGAUGUUGGAUUAAGAAAAAUUUUGGGUGUAGGAGUCCAUUAAUUAGGUCUGUUCGACCUUUAAAUUCUUACAUGAUCUGAGUUCAGACCGGCGUGAGCCAGGUCGGUUUCUAUCCUAAGAUUAUUUAUUUACAUUAGUACGAAAGGACCAUGUGAGUGAAAUAUUUUUUGUAGAUUUGAUUAAAAUUAAAUUU
rnacentral:rRNA from 1 species